rnacentral:rRNA from 1 species
UACGUAGGGAGCAAGCGUUGUCCGGAUUUACUGGGUGUAAAGGGUGCGUAGGCGGCAAUGCAAGUCAGAUGUGAAAUCUAUGGGCUCAACCCAUAAACUGCAUUUGAAACUGCGUUGCUUGAGUGAAGUAGAGGCAGGCGGAAUUCCCCGUGUAGCGGUGAAAUGCGUAGAGAUGGGGAGGAACACCAGUGGCGAAGGCGGCCUGCUGGGCUUUAACUGACGCUGAGGCACGAAAGCGUGGGUAGCAAACAGG